rnacentral:rRNA from 1 species
AUUGAACGCUGGCGGCAUGCUUUACACAUGCAAGUCGAACGGCAGCACGGGCUUCGGCCUGGUGGCGAGUGGCGAACGGGUGAGUAAUAUAUCGGAACGUACCCAGAAGUGGGGGAUAACGUAGCGAAAGUUACGCUAAUACCGCAUACGAUCUAUGGAUGAAAGCAGGGGACCGCAAGGCCUUGUGCUCCUGGAGCGGCCGAUAUCUGAUUAGCUAGUUGGUGAGGUAAAGGCUCACCAAGGCGACGAUCAGUAGCUGGUCUGAGAGGACGACCAGCCACACUGGAACUGAGACACAGUCCAGACUCCUACGGGAGGCAGCAGUGGGGAAUUUUGGACAAUGGGCGCAAGCCUGAUCCAGCAAUGCCGCGUGAGUGAAGAAGGCCUUCGGGUUGUAAAGCUCUUUUGUCAGGGAAGAAACGGUAGAGGCUAAUAUCCUUUGCUAAUGACGGUACCUGAAGAAUAAGCACCGGCUAACUACGUG